rnacentral:lncRNA from 1 species
AAGAAAGUCUCGGUGAGAAAACUCCAGAACAACUUACACAGAGAAAGAAGGAAAAUGGCAAAAUCAAUGAGGUCGAAGAGGGAGAAAAGGCUGAGGGCAAUUAGGAGAGAGCUUGUACAGACCGUUUACGACCAGAAAGAAGCCGCCAAGCGUGCUGUCCAAGAGGCUGCAAGACUUCCUGUCAAGCCCACUCCUAAAAUUUCCACUGGUGCCGCUACUACUUCGUUUGCUAGCAACUAUGAUGACAGCAGCCCCCCAGGGCACUUCUCCACUGGCAAAGGACGGACGCUGUCAAACCUGGCAGAGCAGAGGUCGUGAGUUUUAAACAUGGGGCUCUUGGAAGGCAAGAAUUUAUUCUUGGAAGGCAAGGGAACAUUUGGAAGGCAAGGAUUUAUUCUUGGAAGGCAAGUGAGAACUUGGAAGGCAAGGAUUAUUCUUGGAAGGCAAGGUGCAACUUGGAUUGGCUUGCUUGGCACUUUGUCAGACCAGGUGGGGAGCGCUCGGACCCUGGCCAGUUGGAGGCACAUCCUGCGAUUAACCGGAUUGUGUGAAGAGGGGCCGGAUCACAGACCCAAGGAUUAGUCUAGAAUAGGACACCUUGUAAAAAAAAAAAAAAAAAAAAAAAACUAUGAUGACAGCAACAUGGGUUUGUUUUUAUUUUCCUUUGUCCAUAAAUCUUAUAUGGGUAAUGGGUUUUUCCGGCUGUGAUAUAUUUGUUUGCUCAGUUUAAUCCUCGAUAUAAAUUGGAUUGUGUAUAUCAUGGGUUUAUUUUUUCGACCCCUUUUAUGUGCCCAAUGCGAUUUUAUUAUUUAUUCAUUUUACCUGAUUCAACCAAUAUUUCCCAUACGUUGUAGAAUUUUUGCGUACUCAAUAUGUACAAUUCUUUUGGUUGUAUUCUCCAAGUCUCCAAGUGUCAGGUAUAGAAAAACUGGUGGUCGCCAAAGAAUUUUCACAGACCGAAUUCAUUUUGUUCCAACUCCGUCACUUAGCUAUCGACUGUGUUUCAGUAUACUCACUCCAUCCAACUCCGUUUCACAAAUUAAUGGAAAUGCACGUGGAAGGGGAAAGUUUGCACUGUCAUUAACGCUGUGUUGGUAUGCCAUAUGUGUAUAAAUGACUUUUAAAUGAUGAAGUCGUGUCUUUUUAUAUUAUUUGAUGAAUGUGUUCUGUCUCCAUCCCCCCCCCCCCCCCCCCCCCCCGCCCCCCCCCCUCGCCCCCCCGGGCCACCCACCUUACUGAAAUAGAGACAGAGAACAGAAGGUUUUCCACCUUCUCAGAUCUCAACUCUUUUUCUGCUCAAACAACCCAUUCAUUCAUUGAACACGGCUAUUAAUGUGGCCAUUUCCUGCUAUGCCAAGUAAACGAAGCAUCCCUGUUAUAAAAUUAUUGAGUCCCGCUAUUCCUCCUCCUCCUACAAUCAGCUCCGUCUAAACUGCAACAGCAGGUUCGAGAACUAUAUUCUCAUGAUUACUAUAAUGAUGUGUAUAAUAACAACAAUACUGGCAGUAAGAACGAAUAUAGUUGUUAAUAAUGACAAAUCUAAAUGAGGAAUUUAGUAAGAGCUUGUUGACUUGAGUCAAAUAUUGGAGUUUUUGGAUUGAUGCAUGGAGAUUAUUAUGAUGACCACAGUAAAACUCUUGGAUAAAUAGUAAAGUUGCAUUCACAUAAAAUGACUUCAUCAUUUAAAUGGCUUUUUACAUGUGGCAUGCCAAAGCAUGUUAGCUAACAGCUGCAUAAUUACAAAUCAGUUUCAUCCACCAUGUCCACAAGUUUUUUCCAUUAGUUUGUGAGAUAGAGUUGAACGGGGUGAGCAAGAGCAAACCUAAACAAUAUCAAUAGGUCAGUGUCUAAGUUGGAGCAAAAUAAAGUCUGGUAGCCAACUUGAAGCCUUGCUAGGUGACUGACGGUGUAUUUAACCCUUCUUGAGAUAUAGUCUCCUGGGAAUAUGAGACUAAAAUUGUAAAGAAAGUGUACAAUAUUGAAAAGAUACAAACAUUUCUGUACACAAUUAGAGUUCAUCUAUAAGAAGGCAUCAAGCAGUUUCCUUUGAAAGAUAGCCUUUUUGCUCUUCAUAGAAUGUAUUGAAGCUAUAUGUAGAGGAGCAUUUAGCGGCCUUGAUGGAUAACUACUAUAUACUUGUAAACUCUAUUCUGCAUAACUGUUUUGACUUUUCUUAACUGGUGAUUAAAAGCGUUCUAUUAAUAUAUUGUAAUGUCUAUCAACCUUCUGGUAUCUUGAAAAAUCUGGAUAAAUCAUUCUUUUAUAUAUCCAUUCAUGAUGAAUACACGUGUAUGGAACCAUAUUUUUCACACUUCUUAGUACAAAAAUGUCUUUCUUUGUAUAUUAAUGUCGUUUCCAUUGUUUAGCAGAUGUGGAGAUGACUGAUGGUGGUCAAACUUCUAAAGCCUUAAAACCAAUUCGGAAGAAGCUGAAAAUGAAAAUCAAGAUUGCAAAAAAGAAGAGCCAUGGCAAGGGAAAAAUCAGAAGGAAGCACAGCGUAUGAUUGUGUAUGACUUACCAGGUCUAAACUACUAGUCUCGCAUUAAAUGUAUAGUUCUAUCAAACCAAAUAUCUUGGGGCUUAAUCAAUGUAAUUGUGGCUUUCUUAUUUCUUCUCUCUUUUAUUAAUUAUUAUCAUUCAUUCAUUUA